rnacentral:rRNA from 1 species
GCAUAUCACUAAGCGGAGGAAAAGAAACUAACUAGGAUUCCCCCAGUAACUGCGAGUGAAGAGGGAAGAGCUCAUCAUUGGAAUCUGGCAGUGUUGCACUGUCCGAGUUGUAGAUGAGGAGUAGUCCGUCUGGACUGCAUGGCGUCCAAGUACAAUAGGCCGUCAGUGGGACAUCAUAGAGGGUGACAAUCCCGUCCUUGACGCCAAUGUGCAAGUCUAUUACGAUGGCUAUCUCAGAGAGUCGAGCAGUUUGGGAUUUGCUGCUUAAACAUGGGAGGUAGAUUCCUUCUAAAGCUAAAUACAGGCGAGAGACCGAUAGAGAACAAGUACCGCAAGGGAAAGAUGAAAUAGCACUCUGUGAAGGGAGUCAAAAGGCGUGAAAUUGUUGCGAGAGAAGCGAUUCAAGUCAGCGUAGCUAGGCCCAUCAAGCGUCUUCGCUUUGGACUAGCUUUGCCAGCGGUCUUGUCCCUUGAAGAGACUUGACUUGUAAUAUGUCCAGCCUGGCGUGCACAGGCAGCCCCUUCUGGGGGCCAGUGGCAUGGCUGGUGGAAUGGCUUGCAAUCGACCCGUCUUGAAACACGGACCAAGGAGUCUAACAUGUAUGCGAGUAUAAGGGUGGCAAACCCGUAUGCGCAAUGAAAGUGAUUUUCGGUGAUUGAGAAUGGCCUGAUGACCAGACAAGCAAUAUAUGUCCCUCGUACGGCCAUUGCCCAAGUUCCGUGGUAGAUCCCACGAACAUGGAGUUGGAGCAUACAUGCUAGGACCCGAAAGAUGGUGAACUAUGCCUGGACAAAGCGAAGCCAAAGGAAACUCUGGUGGAGGCUUGUAGCGAUUCUGACGUGCAAA